rnacentral:rRNA from 1 species
UACGGAGGGUGCAAGCGUUAUUCGGAUUCACUGGGCGUAAAGGGUGCGCAGGCGGCCGAGUGUGUGAGGCGUGAAAGCCCGGGGCUUAACCCCGGAAUUGCACCUCAAACUACACGGCUAGAGCAUUGGAGAGGGUAGCAGAAUUCAUGGUGUAGCAGUGAAAUGCGUAGAUAUCAUGAGGAAUACCAGAGGCGAAGGCGGCUACCUGGACAAUUGCUGACGCUCAGGCACGAAAGCGUGGGGAGCAAAAGGG